rnacentral:rRNA from 1 species
CCUACGGGUGGCAGCAGUGGGGAAUAUUGCGCAAUGGGCGAAAGCCUGACGCAGCGACGCCGCGUGAGGGAUGAAGGUCUUCGGAUCGUAAACCUCUGUCAGCAGGGCAGAACGGUCACUGUGCUAAUCAGCAGUGAAUUGACGGUACCUGCCAAGGAAGCCCCGGCUAACUACGUGCCAGCAGCCGCGGUAAUACGUAGGGGGCAAGCGUUAUCCGGAGUUACUGGGUGUAAAGGGAGCGUAGACGGCGAAGAAAGUCUGAAGUGAAAGCCCGCGGCUUAACCGCGGAACUGCUUUGGAAACUUGUUUGCUGGAGUACCGGAGAGGUAAGCGGAAUUCCUAGUGUAGCGGGGAAAUGCGUAGAUAUUAGGAGGAACACCAGUGGCGAAGGCGGCUUACUGGACGGUAACUGACGUUGAGGCUCGAAAGCGUGGGGAGCAAACAGGAUUAGAUACCCCUGUAGUC